rnacentral:misc_RNA from 1 species
GAUGAAGAACGCAGCGAAAUGCGAUAAGUAGUGUGAAUUGCAGAAUUCAGUGAAUCAUCGAAUCUUUGAACGCACAUUGCGCCCCUUGGUAUUCCGAGGGGCAUGCCUGUUCGAGCGUCAUUAUAACCCUUCAAGCUCAGCUUGGUGUUGGGGCCUGCUGUAACUGGUAGCCCUUAAAAUCAGUGGCAGUGCUAUUAGGCUCUAAGCGUAGUAAUUCUUCUCGCUAUAGUGUGUAGUGAGCGCUUGCCAGAACCCCAAACUUUUAUAUGAUUGACCUCGGAUCAGGUAGGGAUACCCGCUGAACUUAAGCGUAUCAAUAAGCGGAGGA